rnacentral:rRNA from 1 species
UGGGGAAUAUUGCACAAUGGACGCAAGUCUGAUGCAGCGACGCCGCGUGGGGGAUGAAGGCUUUCGGGUUGUAAACUCCUUUCAGUACAGAAGAAGCAUUUUUGUGACGGUAUGUGCAGAAGAAGCGCCGGCUAACUACGUGCCAGCAGCCGCGGUAAUACGUAGGGCGCGAGCGUUGUCCGGAAUUAUUGGGCGUAAAGAGCUCGUAGGCGGUUUGUUGCGCCUGCUGUGAAAGACCGGGGCUUAACUUCGGGGUUGCAGUGGGUACGGGCAGACUAGAGUGUGGUAGGGGUAAUUGGAAUUCCUGGUGUAGCGGUGGAAUGCGCAGAUAUCAGGAGGAACACCGAUGGCGAAGGCAGGUUACUGGGCCAUUACUGACGCUGAGGAGCGAAAGCGUGGGUAGCGAACAGG